GGAGGAAAGCAGGGGAUCGCAAGACCUUGCGCUUUUGGAGCGGCCGAUGCCUGAUUAGCUUGUUGGUGAGGUAAAAGCUCACCAAGGCUCCGAUCAGUAGCUGGUCUGAGAGGACGACCAGCCACACUGGGACUGAGACACGGCCCAGACUCCUACAGGAGGCAGCAGUGGGGAAUUUUGGACAAUGGGGGCAACCCUGAUCCAGCCAUGCCGCGUGAGUGAAGAAGGCCUUCGGGUUGUAAAGCUCUUUCAGCCGGAACGAAACGGUCACGGUUAAUACCCGUGACUACUGACGGUACCGGAAGAAGAAGCACCGGCUAACUACGUGCCAGCAGCCGCGGUAAUACGUAGGGUGCGAGCGUUAAUCGGAAUUACUGGGCGUAAAGCGUGCGCAGGUGGUUUUGUAAGUCAGAUGUGAAAUCCCCGGGCUUAACCUGGGAACUGCGUUUGAAACUACAAAGCUAG
rnacentral:rRNA from 1 species